UACGGGGGGGGCAAGCGUUGUUCGGAAUUACUGGGCGUAAAGGGCGCGUAGGCGGCCUUCUAAGUCAGACGUGAAAUCCCUCGGCUCAACCGAGGAACUGCGUCUGAUACUGGAAGGCUUGAAUCCGGGAGAGGGAUGUGGAAUUCCAGGUGUAGCGGUGAAAUGCGUAGAUAUCUGGAGGAACACCAAUGGCGAAGGCAGAUCUCUGGGCCGUAACUGACGCUGAGGAGCGAAAGCAUGGGGAGCGAACAGG
rnacentral:rRNA from 1 species